CCUACGGGUGGCAGCAAUGAGGAAUAUUGGUCAAUGGGCGGGAGCCUGAACCAGCCAAGUCGCGUGAGGGAUGACGGCCCUAUGGGUUGUAAACCUCUUUUGCCGGGGAGCAAAGUGCCGCACGUGUGCGGUUUGGAGAGUACCCGGAGAAAAAGCAUCGGCUAACUCCGUGCCAGCAGCCGCGGUAAUACGGAGGUCUCAAGCGUUGUUCGGAAUCACUGGGCGUAAAGCGUGCGUAGGCUGUUUCGUAAGUCGUGUGUGAAAGGCGCGGGCUCAACCCGCGGACGGCACAUGAUACUGCGAGACUAGAGUAAUGGAGGGGGAACCGGAAUUCUCGGUGUAGCAGUGAAAUGCGUAGAUAUAUGGAAGAACACCAGUGGCGAAGGCGGCUGUCUGGUCUGCAACUGACGCUGAGGCUCGAAAGCAUGGGUAGCGAACAGGAUUAGAUACCCCUGUAGUC
rnacentral:rRNA from 1 species